UACAGAGACUGCGAGCGUUUAUUCGGAUUCAUUGGGCGUAAAGGGUGCGUAGGUGGCGCGGUAAGUCGGGUGUGAAAUUUCGGAGCUUAACUCCGAAACUGCAUUCGAUACUGCCGUGCUUGAGGACUGGAGAGGAGACUGGAAUUUACGGUGUAGCAGUGAAAUGCGUAGAGAUCGUAAGGAAGACCAGUGGCGAAGGCGGGUCUCUGGACAGUUCCUGACACUGAGGCACGAAGGCCAGGGGAGCAAACGGGG
rnacentral:rRNA from 1 species